rnacentral:lncRNA from 1 species
AAAAAAAUCAACUGAAACAAAAGAAUAGACUGAAUUUGCCAAAAGAGUGCUUAAAUGGAGACCUAAGUCUUCAAAGCUAAGGUGAUGAGAAAAGAACAGGUCUUAAAUUUCUUCAGAGCUUCAAGAGGCAAAGCUUGAAAGAAGAAAAAAUUUUAUUCUUAGGUAAGAUGUAGGGGUAGAAUGGUGGCCCCUGCAAAAGGUAAGCCUUCCUCCUAAUCCUAGAAUCGUGGAUGGUACCUUAUUUGGAUAAAAAGGUCUUUGCAGAUGUAAUUAAGAACCUUGAGAUGAGGAGAUCAUCCUGGAUUAUCUGGUGGACUGUAAAGUCAAUGACAUGUAUUCAUAUAUGACAGAAGAGAAGACAUGGAGAAGAGGAGGGAGUAGUUGUGACCGUGGAGGCAGAGAAUGGAGUAAUGUGAUCAUAAAUCAAGGAAUGCUGACAGCCACUAAAGCUGGAGAAGGCCAAGGACAGAUAUUCAAUCCUCCCGUAGAAGUACAGCCCUGCUAAUGCAUUGAUUUUGGACUUCUGGCCUCAGAACUAUUUAUAUAUCAGCUUUUUAUCAGUUGAAAUAAACCACCCUGGGCCGGGUGCAGUGGCUCACACCUGUAAUCCCAGCACUUUGGGAGGCCG